UGAGGAAUAUUGGUCAAUGGGCGAGAGCCUGAACCAGCCAAGUAGCGUGAAGGAUGAAGGUCCUAUGGAUUGUAAACUUCUUUUAUAGUAGAAUAAAGUGACCUACGUGUAGGUUUUUGUAUGUAUACUAUGAAUAAGGAUCGGCUAACUCCGUGCCAGCAGCCGCGGUAAUACGGAGGAUCCGAGCGUUAUCCGGAUUUAUUGGGUUUAAAGGGUGCGUAGGCGGAAUAAUAAGUCAGUUGUGAAAGUUUGCGGCUCAACCGUAAAAUUGCAGUUGAUACUGUUAUUCUUGAGUGUACAUAAGGUAGGCGGAAUUCGUGGUGUAGCGGUGAAAUGCUUAGAUAUCACGAAGAACUCCGAUUGCGAAGGCAGCUUACCGGGGUACAACUGACGCUGAGGCACGAAAGUGUGGGUAUCAAACA
rnacentral:rRNA from 1 species